rnacentral:misc_RNA from 1 species
AGUUAAAUCAUGUGAUUCAAAAGCCACUUCCGUGAAGGAAAUGAAGAAGGUAGACUCUGCAAGGUCUUCAAGACUUUCUCUACUUCAUCAAUGGUCUCAAGCUUUACAUCUCCAGGGACAGAAUCCAAAGCCCACAGCUGCUUAGGCCAUACAGCAGAUUCCCCAUAAUCACCCCUAGAACAACUCUGCGCGAACUGGAGAGCUACUUUGCCUCCCAUGGAGUGACCAAUAACAACAUCAGGCCAAGACCAACCAUGAGAUUUGACCAAAUUAGCCAAAUCUUUAGCCGCAUUGAAAACAUCAUGAGGCGGGUCCAGACCUUUAAUAUCCGCAGAUUUCCCAUGGUUCCUCAAAUCUACAAGCACCAUCCUCCACUCAGAAGAAGAAGAAGAUUUG